CUCAAUGUUCUUAUUGGUCUUUAUAGUACUGGUCAUUUUAAGUGAGAAUGUUCUUCAGGAAGUAUUCGGUGAAAGUAGGAGAAAUGUUAAUAGAAACUUCUAUAACUUGAAAAAUAAAAAAUAUUAUAAUGUAAAAAUUAUACAAUGUUAUUCAUUUUACACGAUCAGUGCCAAGUAAAAAUAUUGGUGAACAUUGUUACUUAUUUAUUACGAAUAAAUACGAAGCAGUGGAGGUAAACUUACUUCUGCCGCAAUCUACUAUUAAUUAACAAGAAAUAUCAUCAGUGAGGAAUGUAAACAUUCAAUAUAUGUGGUUUUACAAUGCUAUCAGAAGCGAUUCAAGUUGUUCGAUACAUGGUAAUCAGUUAAGACGACAUGGUUGUAUUGAGUCAACUUGUACUUCAUUGAUAAAAAUCACAUAUAUAUUAUACAUAAAAUUCUAUAAAUUAUUUGUAUAUAAUCUAUAUUGUAUUAAAUAUAAAAAUUAAAUUAUUAAAAUAAAAUCAUGUUAUUUCAUUU